rnacentral:rRNA from 1 species
UACGUAGGGCCCGAGCGUUGUCCGGAAUCAUUGGGCGUAAAGAGCGUGUAGGCGGCCUUUUAAGUCCUGCGUGAAAUCCUGCGGCUCAACCGCAGACGGUCGUGGGAAACUGGAAGGCUAGAGUGCGGGAGAGGAGAGUGGAAUUCCCGGUGUAGCGGUGAAAUGCGCAGAUAUCGGGAAGAACACCCGUGGCGAAGGCGGCUCUCUGGAACGCAACUGACGCUGAGACGCGAAAGCGUGGGGAGCAAACAGG